rnacentral:rRNA from 1 species
UACCAUGCAGUCGAGCGGAUGACAGGAGCUUGCUCCUGAAUUCAGCGGCGGACGGGUGAGUAAUGCCUAGGAAUCUGCCUGGUAGUGGGGGACAACGUUUCGAAAGGAACGCUAAUACCGCAUACGUCCUACGGGAGAAAGCAGGGGACCUUCGGGCCUUGCGCUAUCAGAUGAGCCUAGGUCGGAUUAGCUAGUUGGUGAGGUAAUGGCUCACCAAGGCGACGAUCCGUAACUGGUCUGAGAGGAUGAUCAGUCACACUGGAACUGAGACACGGUCCAGACUCCUACGGGAGGCAGCAGUGGGGAAUAUUGGACAAUGGGCGAAAGCCUGAUCCAGCCAUGCCGCGUGUGUGAAGAAGGUCUUCGGAUUGUAAAGCACUUUAAGUUGGGAGGAAGGGCAUUAACCUAAUACGUUAGUGUUUUGACGUUACCGACAGAAUAAGCACCGGCUAACUCUGUGCCAGCAGCCG